ensembl:lncRNA TEX41 testis expressed 41
GGCCUCCAUCUUGAAAACGGAAAAUAAAAACAGCAGACCUAUGAAGGUCGAAGGGGAAGAAAAGCUGUAUCGAUUGUUGAGAUCUGGCGACUUGUUUAAAUUUCAUCAGCCUCACUUCUAUGAACUCUCAGCUCACAGUAUGGCAGCUGACAUUCUACAGAGUGAGCAGGUGAAGGAAAGAAAGAAAAGAGCUGAUUACCAACUCCUACCACUGUUAACCCUCAUCCAGGAACAAGCUUAUGUCUUUAACAUUCUGAGUGGGCUUCAGCAUCCUUGCAUAUGUUCAAUUCUUAAAAACCUGUUGAAAUAAAAGAUCAGGAGACAUAGGAAGGAUGCCAGAAGAGAGCGUGGCCUCACGUGUACCAGCUCUCUGCUCUCCUUUGCCUUGGGACGUUCCAUCCCUGGAAGUUUCCCUGCCCACAUCUUUGUAGAGAGUCCAUUCUCCAAGCUUCAGUGUGUCAUCUGUGAGGACCGUGACCCACCUGGUACAUCGCCUCAGGGCAUUCAUUUCAGGCUCCUUCUAAAUGGCCAAGGUGUCGACCACAACAACAAAAGUUUCAGGAGACUUACUAUGUGCUCAACAUUGUAUUAGGUAUUAUGGUUGACCCUAAAGAAGCAUCAGCUUGGCUUUGCACCAAAGAAGUUUUUAGUCAAGUUGGAGAGAGAUCACUACUCAAAGAACGCAAGAGACUAAUGGAAGACAGAAUAUAUUGGCAGCAGACUAAAAGGCAGAAUGGUCACACUUCAAAAUGUUUGGUACAAGCUAUGGUGAUGUUAUUGAUCUUCUGAUUUGAUGUUCCUGUGAAGGUUCUAUGACCUAUUUUGAUAUGUAGACAGUGGUAAAAUGCUCAAAGCUCUUUGCUACGAUAUGUAAUAACAAAGGGAACAGUAAAAAAUAUUCUGUUUAAAUAAGCCAGAUCACUUUUACAUGUGAUGGCCAAGCCAUGCAGGGGAGGAGGUGCUGAGCCUGGUUCUGUUAGUAACUGAGUGGUAGCUGAAGAAGACAAAUCUAACCAGGCAUGGCAAGUCCGUGGAUGCCAUGAGAGCCUGUGCAUUUAGAACUAGGGCACACUAACAGAGAUCAAACUAAGUUUUUCCACUAACAUCAGACCUUUGCAAUUUAAUGAUUAUAAAACUUUCCUAACAUUUGCAAGUUUCUAAACAUUUAUUUUCUUUUAUUCUGUGCAAUUCCUAUUACCAUUGAAAUUAUUUAGGUCACAUAUUUUUGUGUUAUUUAAGUAACACUCAAAGACAAAACCAAGAAAUUCUUUUUCUACUUUUAACCAUCCUGAUUGGAUAGUUUAUAUUUAUAUCAAGUUCUAAUCUCCUAAAAUUUUUAGUGUGUUUAAUAAUGAAUCUUUGAAGAAUAUGAUACACUUGUGUAAUAGCUUUUUCAUAUAAUAAAAUUUUCCAAAGUAAAUAACCUGACAAAUUAAAAAAAACUCAUACAUUAAAUGUAAAGUACUAUUUUGUUAUAAUCAUAGAAUUUAAUAAAUUAAAAGGAUUUU